CUCCUAAGAGUAUUCCAGAUUUCCUUUUAAAACUAAAGAAAAUACGAGUAGCAUGAGUUCAAUUCACCAAAAUGGUUCAAGACUUUUUGGCUUCUAGACGUUUUCCCAAGCCAGUCGAUUGAACUUCACACAUUGCCCAUUCUGCAGUGCAUCCUGUCCACAUCGCUUUCUUUCCUGACAGAAUUCCUAGGGUGAGGUGGAUUCCUGACGCUGGGCCGAGGAAUCUGUAAACAGAAGCUUUUGUAGAUUCUUAGUCCACUUUCUUGACAAACUUGCUGCAGUAUGCCCUUUCUAAAUGGACUUAAGUGCACAGAAUUGGAUUAACCAUAAUCCUUGCUUCAUACCAUAGUCUCACUACUAAUCCAUGUCUGGAUGUUAUUAAUUACUGGGAUAUAAUGGAUACCUAAACGUCCACCAGCUGACCCCACAUUUGGAACACUGGUAAUAUCUUUGGUCUCCGUAGGUGCUUUCUUCGCAUCCUUCCCCCUACAUUCCAUGGUUCUCAAAAAAAGGGAAUAGCCUUUUUUCUUCUUCUCUUCCUCCUCCUUUUUAAAUCACUCAUGUUCCAAGAUUCAUCUUUGUUGUAGCUUGUAGCUAUAGUUAAAUGUUCACUGCUGGGUAUUGUUCUACUCUAGAUAUAGUACAAUUUAUGUAUCUGUUUCCCCAUCAGUAGGCACAGUCUAUAACUUUACCAUGCCCAACUCUUGACAAAGUUGUGAAGUAGGAUGGAGUUUGUCUUUGAUGACUUUAGUAUAUUUUUCUACCCUUCCUUAUCCUCUUCUCAGAAGAUCGUCUAGGCCUCCUGCCUGUCACCUAGUGUUGUGUAAUAAAUGUUUAUUGAAUGAAGAUUUUAAGUGACAGAGAAGAUUGAGGGCAACUCGAGUCAAAUGGAUGCAACUUCCCUGAGCACUGCGCUGAAGAAGCUUCUGCAGCCUCUUCUCAGCUCAGAGGGAAGACUGCCAGGCGAAGUACAAAAGGAACUAGAACCUUCUACUCCACCCCACCUG
rnacentral:lncRNA from 1 species